AUUGAACGCUGGCGGCAGGCCUAACACAUGCAAGUCGAGCGGAGCGGCGGACGGGAGAGUAAUGCCUAGGAAUCUGCCUGGUAGUGGGGGAUCACGUCCGGAAACGGGCGCUACUACUGCAUACUAUCAGAUGAGCCUAGGUCGGAUUAGCUAGUUGGUGGGGUAAAGGCCUACCAAGGCGAUGAUCCGUAACUGGUCUGAGAGGAUGAACAGUCACACUGGAACUGAGACACGGUCCAGACUCCUACGGGAGGCAGCAGUGGGGAAUAUUGGACAAUGGGCGAAAGCCUGAUGCAGCCAUGCCGCGUGUGUGAAGAAGGUCUUCGGAUUGUAAAGCACUGUAAGUGGGGAGGCGUUAACAACAGAAUAAGCAACGGCUAACUUCGUGCCAGCAGCCGCGGUAAUUC
rnacentral:rRNA from 1 species